rnacentral:rRNA from 1 species
UGGGGAAUAUUGCACAAUGGGGGAAACCCUGAUGCAGCAACGCCGCGUGAAGGAAGACGGUUUUCGGAUUGUAAACUUCUGUUCUUAGUGAAGAAUAAUGACGGUAGCUAAGGAGCAAGCCACGGCUAACUACGUGCCAGCAGCCGCGGUAAUACGUAGGUGGCAAGCGUUGUCCGGAAUUACUGGGUGUAAAGGGAGCGCAGGCGGGAAGCCAAGUCAGCUGUGAAAACUACGGGCUUAACUUGUAGACUGCAGUUGAAACUGGUUUUCUUGAGUGAAGUAGAGGUUGGCGGAAUUCCGAGUGUAGCGGUGAAAUGCGUAGAUAUUCGGAGGAACACCGGUGGCGAAGGCGGCCAACUGGGCUUUAACUGACGCUGAGGCUCGAAAGUGUGGGGAGCAAACAGG